UACAGAGGCCCCAAGCGUUACUGAGAAUCACUGGGUUUAAAGGGUGCGUAGGUGGUCCGUUAAGUUCGUUGUGAAAGCCCUGGGCUCAACCCAGGAACUGCUUCGAAUACUGGCGGACUUGAGGCUAGUAGAGGUCACUGGAACUGACGGUGGAGCGGUGAAAUGCGUAGAUAUCGUCAGGAACGCCAAUGGUGAAGACAGGUGACUGGGCUAGUUCUGACACUGAGGCACGAAAGCGUGGGGAGCAAACAGG
rnacentral:rRNA from 1 species